rnacentral:lncRNA from 1 species
ACCAGGUCAAACAGAAAUUUUUCUCAGGCAAACUUUAAUAGGCUUGCAGGUUGAGCAAAGCAAGGGAGCAACGCAUGGGAAAAGGACCCCAGUGCCAGCUCUCUAAAGGGCUUGGCUCUUGUCAUUUUAAAGAAGCUGAGGCCAGAAAAGGAGUGGCAUGUAGGCAUCUAGAGGCAGGGAACUUUCAGCACGUGCUGCACUUUAACAUGCGAUAUGGUUUAACUCUGUGUCUCCACCCAAAUUUCAUGUGAAUUUUAAUCCCCAAAGUUGACCUCCCAAAGUGCUGGGAUUAUAGUCCCAGCUACUUUGGAGGCUGAGGCAGGAGGAUCUCUUGAGCCCAGGAGUUAGAGUCUGCAGUGAGCUGUGAUCGAACCACUGCACCCCUGCCUGGGCAACAGAGCGUGGCCCUGUCUCAAAAAUAACAAAAGUCAAAUGGAAAUAGCCUCUCCACCCCCACCCCCACAAUAUCAACAUUCUUAUCAUAGGCUAAUUAACACACUGGAAAGAACUAAGGAAAGAAUCCAUAAACUGGGAGACAGGUGAGUAGAAGUCAUCCAAAAUGAACACAAAGAGAAAAAAGAGAAAGAGAGAGAACUAAAUCAAGCAUCCAAGACCUUUAAAACACUUGAACACACUCUAGUGAAUGUCCACUUAUGAUCCUAAGAGGAAACAAGAAAUCGUGGAAGAAAAGCUACUUGGAGAGAUGGUGGCUGAGAGUCUCCCAAAGUUAGUCAAAGACAAAAAAAAUCACAUAUUUGAGAAUUUUGGAGAGCCCUAAGCAGAAUAAACACAAACACUCCUGUUAGAACUAAUAAAAAAUCCAGCAAAGGUGCAGAGUGCAGUAUCAAUACACAAAAAUCCACUGAAUUUCUAUACAUUAGUAAUAUACAAUCUGAAAAUGAAAUUAAGAAAAUUUUAAAUAAUAAUAGAAUAAAAUACAGAAGCAUAUAUGUAACCAAAGAAGUAUAAGAGUUAAAUGCUAAAACCCCCAAAUCCUGCUGAGAGGAAUUAAAGAAAACAUGAGCAACUGGGGAGGCCGUCCCUGUUCAUGGGCCAGAGGCACAAUCACGUUAACAUGGCAAUUUGUAAAUCCAAUAUAAUCCCUGUCGAAAUCCAGCAGGCAUUUGUGCAAAAUUUGACAAAUUGAUCCUAAUAUUUACAAAUGAAAAUGAAAGGAAAGCCACCGAUUAGGAUAAAAUAUUGACAAAUCAUAUAACUGAUAAAAGAUUGUAUCCAGAAUAGAAAAAAGAGCUAAAAACUUCAUGACAAAAAUAACUUAAAGGACCCGGUAUGGAUAAAACAAUUUUUUAAAAGAACAAAAUUUAGUAACAAAGACAGUCUCGUAUUGGUUUCACUGUAGUCACACAGAUCAAUGAAACAGGAUCAAAAGUCCAGGAAAAAAAACAAAACCCUUUUAUGUAGAUUGUCAAUUGAUUUUUGACAAAGGCAACAAACAGAACUCAGUGGGGGGACUGACAGUCUUUUCCACAAAUAGUGCUGGGACAUCUGGAUAGCCACAUGAGAAAGAAGUUUGGAACCCUACCUCAUGUCCCCCACAAGAAUUAACACAAAGAGGGCUACAUGAAAACCGGGAACUAAAACUGGUAGAAAACAUGGGAGAAAGUCAAGGAAGCUGUGGGCCAGGUGCAAUUCCUUAGCCAUGACAUCAAAAAUAAGAUCGUAAAAUAAAACAUUGAUAGGGUGAACUUCAUCGAAUUUUUUUCAAAUGUGUGCUUCAAAAGACACUAACAAGAAAUCGGAAGAUAAGCCGCAGAUCUGGAGGAUGUAUUUGCAAACCAUAUCACUGAUGAAAGAUUGAACCCAGAGUGGAAAAGGAACUAAAAAAUUAAUGACAAAAACAGCUCAGUUAGAAACAGGCAAAACAUCUGCAUAGACAUCCAAUUUCAUAAUUUGUGAGAAAUGUAUUUAGUGCCAUACACCUCUCAGUAACAGCUGCUUCACUCUGCCCUGUCCUUCUAAUGUGCAAUGUUUGUAUUACUUUUUAAUAAUUAUGAUUAUCUCUUUAACCCCAAAUUUAUGGUAAUAGACUAUUUGGUUUCCAAACAUACAAUAUUUGCACUAUCCCUUUUGUGACUUAAUUUCUAAUUUUUUUUUGCCCUGUGGUUGGAAAAUAUAUUUCUGUAUGUUGAUCAUUUGACUAUCAGAAAGCUGCAUUGUGGCUUAAUGUUUUAAUCCUUUUGUAGCCUUCUUUAAGUGCACAUCUGGCUGAAACUCAGUGCCUUGGUAUUUUUGGAACCUACUUGGGGAAGAAAAAUCUGGAAACCCUGUCCUCCCAGUACUGAGCGUUUUCUGUCUCGGAAGAGGUGGUAGUUGAAGUUCACUUCGGAGCCGCCUGCUGUUUUCACUUUGGGGGACUCUGGAGUUUUAGUUGCACAAACAAGGAAUUGCCUGCAUGUUUCCUGGAUGCAAAUGUCUCAGGAGGGGAAUGUGUGUGUGUGUGUGUGUGUGUGUGUCAUGUCGUACGGGGGUGCUCCCCCCUGCCCUCCUCUCAAUCCUCAUCAGUGCCUGACGAGCUCUGGGCAGCACACCGAGGGAUCCAGACUGGUGCCUUGGGGCUGAGACUCAGGAAGAUCAUGUCUCCUCCCUCCCACUGAGGUCUCUGCCCGGGACCUCACUUCCUAGCCGAGGAGCAGCCUCUUUCCAGGACAACCCAAAGUGGAAAGGUCCUCCUUGGGACAAUUACUCCAGAACUCAGGCGGUGGGUUUCACUCUGUCUAGGUGGCAGCUGCCUGUCCAGCUGAUGAACACCCCACGGCGUGCAGAG